GUGCUUGCUUCGGCAGCACAUAUACUAAAAUUGGAACGAUACAGAGAAGAUUAGCAUGGCCCCUGUGCAAGGAUGACAUGCAAACAAUAUUAUUCUGAAGAUCCAUAGGUUU